GAUGAACGCUGGCGGCGUGCUUAACACAUGCAAGUCGAACGAAGCACCUUGAUUUGAUUCUUCGGAUGCAGAUCUUGGUGACUGAGUGGCGGACGGGUGAGUAACGCGUGGGUAACCUGCCUCAUACAGGGGGAUAACAGUUAGAAAUGACUGCUAAUACCGCAUACGACCACAGCACCGCAUGGUGCAGGGGUAAAAACUCCGGUGGUAUGAGAUGGACCCGCGUCUGAUUAGGUAGUUGGUGGGGUAACGGCCUACCAAGCCGACGAUCAGUAGCCGACCUGAGAGGGUGACCGGCCACAUUGGGACUGAGACACGGCCCAAACUCCUACGGGAGGCAGCAGUGGGGAAUAUUGCACAAUGGGGGAAACCCUGAUGCAGCGACGCCGCGUGAGCGAUGAAGUAUUUCGGUAUGUAAAGCUCUAUCAGCAGGGAAGAAAAUGACGGUACCUGACUAAGAAGCACCGGCUAAAUACGUG
rnacentral:rRNA from 1 species